GGCUUCUCUACAGUGUUGCCUUG
rnacentral:miRNA from 19 species